rnacentral:rRNA from 1 species
CCUACGGGAGGCAGCAGUGGGGAAUAUUGCACAAUGGGCGCAAGCCUGAUGCAGCCAUGCCGCGUGUAUGAAGAAGGCCUUCGGGUUGUAAAGUACUUUCAGCGGGGAGGAAGGGAGUAAAGUUAAUACCUUUGCUCAUUGACGUUACACGCAGAAGAGUCCC